rnacentral:rRNA from 1 species
GACGAACGCUGGCGGCGUGCUUAACACAUGCAAGUCGAACGGAAAGGCCCCUUCGGGGGUACUCGAGUGGCGAACGGGUGAGUAACACGUGGGUAAUCUGCCCUGCACUUCGGGAUAAGCCUGGGAAACUGGGUCUAAUACCGGAUAGGACCAUUUAGCGCAUGCUUUAUGGUGGAAAGCUUUUGCGGUGUGGGAUGGGCCCGCGGCCUAUCAGCUUGUUGGUGGGGUGACGGCCUACCAAGGCGACGACGGGUAGCCGGCCUGAGAGGGUGUCCGGCCACACUGGGACUGAGAUACGGCCCAGACUCCUACGGGAGGCAGCAGUGGGGAAUAUUGCACAAUGGGCGCAAGCCUGAUGCAGCGACGCCGCGUGGGGGAUGACGGCCUUCGGGUUGUAAACCUCUUUCAGCAGGGACGAAGCGCAAGUGACGGUACCUGCAGAAGAAGCACCGGCCAACUACG